AAACAAUGAAGCAUGAUAUUCCGACCAUUCAGUCAAUGCCUGUUCUGAAUUUUAGUAGCAGACCUACUAACACUCACAUGAAUUGGAGGACAACCAGUCGAACACCUCUUCAUCAUCAUUGGACAACUAGCAUCUAUCAUAUACUUGUUUCA